AGGCUUAACACAUGCAAGUCGAGGGGCAGCACAGGUAGCAAUACCGGGUGGCGACCGGCGCACGGGUGAGUAACGCGUAUGCAACUUGCCUAUCAGAGGGGGAUAACCCGGCGAAAGUCGGACUAAUACCGCAUGAAGCAGGGAUCCCGCAUGGGAAUAUUUGCUAAAGAUUCAUCGCUGAUAGAUAGGCAUGCGUUCCAUUAGGCAGUUGGCGGGGUAACGGCCCACCAAACCGACGAUGGAUAGGGGUUCUGAGAGGAAGGUCCCCCACAUUGGUACUGAGACACGGACCAAACUCCUACGGGAGGCAGCAGUGAGGAAUAUUGGUCAAUGGCCGAGAGGCUGAACCAGCCAAGUCGCGUGAGGGAUGAAGGUUCUAUGGAUCGUAAACCUCUUUUAUAAGGGAAUAAAGUGCGGGACGUGUCCCGUUUUGUAUGUACCUUAUGAAUAAGGAUCGGCUAACUCCGUGCCAGCAGCCGCGGUAAUACGGAGGAUCCGAGCGUUAUCCGGAUUUAUUGGGUUUAAAGGGUGCGUAGGCGGCCUUUUAAGUCAGCGGUGAAAGUCUGUGGCUCAACCAUAGAAUUGCCGUUGAAACUGGGGGGCUUGAGUAUGUUUGAGGCAGGCGGAAUGCGUGGUGUAGCGGUGAAAUGCAUAGAUAUCACGCAGAACCCCGAUUGCGAAGGCAGCCUGCCAAGCCAUUACUGACGCUGAUGCACGAAAGCGUGGGGAUCAAACAGGAUUAGAUACCCUGGUAGUCCACGCAGUAAACGAUGAUCACUAGCUGUUUGCGAUACACUGUAAGCGGCACAGCGAAAGCGUUAAGUGAUCCACCUGGGGAGUACGCCGGCAACGGUGAAACUCAAAGGAAUUGACGGGGGCCCGCACAAGCGGAGGAACAUGUGGUUUAAUUCGAUGAUACGCGAGGAACCUUACCCGGGUUUGAACGCAUUCGGACCGAGGUGGAAACACCUUUUCUAGCAAUAGCCGUUUGCGAGGUGCUGCAUGGUUGUCGUCAGCUCGUGCCGUGAGGUGUCGGCUUAAGUGCCAUAACGAGCGCAACCCUUGCCACUAGUUACUAACAGGUAAAGCUGAGGACUCUGGUGGGACUGCCAGCGUAAGCUGCGAGGAAGGCGGGGAUGACGUCAAAUCAGCACGGCCCUUACAUCCGGGGCGACACACGUGUUACAAUGGCGUGGACAAAGGGAGGCCACCUGGCGACAGGGAGCGAAUCCCCAAACCACGUCUCAGUUCGGAUCGGAGUCUGCAACCCGACUCCGUGAAGCUGGAUUCGCUAGUAAUCGCGCAUCAGCCAUGGCGCGGUGAAUACGUUCCCGGGCCUUGUACACACCGCCCGUCAAGCCAUGGGAGCCGGGGGUACCUGAAGUCCGUAACCGCGAGGAUCGGCCUAGGGUAAAACUGGUGACUGGGGCUAAGUCGUA
rnacentral:rRNA from 1 species